rnacentral:rRNA from 1 species
CCUACGGGUGACAGCAGUGAGGAAUAUUGGUCAAUGGGCGCGAGCCUGAACCAGCCAAGUCGCGUGAGGGAAGACGGUCCUAUGGAUUGUAAACCUCUUUUGUCGGGGAGCAAAAGACGCCACGCGUGGCGUUCCGAGAGUACCCGAAGCAAAAGCAUCGGCUAACUCCGUGCCAGCAGCCGCGGUAAUACGGAGGAUGCGAGCGUUAUCCGGAUUUAUUGGGCGUAACGCGUCCGCAGCCGGUUUAUUAAGUCUAAGAUUAAAGCCCGAAGCUUAACUUCGGUUCGUUUUAGAAACUGGUAGACUCGAGUGUGGUAGAGGCAAGUGGAACUUCUAGGGUAGCGGUAAAAUGCGUAGAUAUUAGAAAGAACACCAGUGGCGAAGGCGACUUGCUGGGCCAUCACUGACGGUCAGGGACGAAAGCGUGGGGAGCAAAUAGGAUUAGAUACCCGGGUAGUC